UACGGAGGGUGCAAGCGUUAUCCGGAUUCACUGGGUUUAAAGGGUGCGUAGGCGGGCAGGUAAGUCAGUGGUGAAAUCUCCGAGCUUAACUCGGAAACUGCCGUUGAUACUAUUUGUCUUGAAUAUUGUGGAGGUAAGCGGAAUAUGUCAUGUAGCGGUGAAAUGCUUAGAUAUGACAUAGAACACCAAUCGCGAAGGCAGCUUACUACACAACGAUUGACGCUGAGGCACGAAAGCGUGGGGAUCAAACAGG
rnacentral:rRNA from 1 species